CUUUGCUUCUAGCUAGAUAGGAUCCAAGAUGGCUAGACCUUUCUAUUGCUGACAGCCCUAGUAUAGCCUCCCUUUUACACUAGCCUCUCUUACUCAGUUUUCCAAUUGACCAUAGUGGCAGUUGGUAACUGAUUUGUACUACCCCCCACCAGGAAUCAAGAUGUCUUUGAUCUUUUGUGGAAACGCCUAGGCAGAGCCAGUGACAAUGGCUGCUAGCUUCAGGAGUUACAACUGACACUUGGUGACAGUUGGUCACUAAAGCUUUAUUUUAAUUGGGGGUUCUUUUAAAUCUAGGGUGCCAUUUGUAUUUGAGGGGUUGUUUAGUUAUAACCAAGGGGUUCAAUCUUUUAGUAUAGAGAGGGGGAAGAGAGGAGAACCUCCCUUCUCAAAGCAGGGUUGGAAGAUAGCAGAUGUUUAGGGUUGGCUCAGAGAGAAGAGAGGGGGUUUGAAGAUUUUCCCCCUUCUGCCUUCCCUCCUUAGCUAAGGCUGCUCUCCCAGAUUUGCUCUUGUCCCUCUUGUCCCUACACUACUCAAAACCAAAGGGUCUCCCCUUGAUCUGUUCAACUCACACACAGCUUGGGGAAAAGUUGACUAUUUUAAUGUCAACUCAAUCAAGGGGUCUACUUUGUCUCUCAGUGAACUGGGUAUUUAAUCUAAGCUAAUGUGGAUAACCCUAAAUAAUUUGCGUUUGAAGACUGCCCUUCGGAAGACAAUGCCUAAACUCAAAGAAGUUCCACUUUCAGCAAUUUCUGUCAGCCAGUCCAGACCAGAAUUUCAAUCGACAAAGAAUUG
rnacentral:lncRNA from 1 species